rnacentral:rRNA from 1 species
GGCCUGUUAAGUCCACUGUGAAAUCUUGGGGCUCAACCUCAAGGCGUGCAGUGGAUACUGGCAGGCUUGAGAGCGGGGGAGGUCAGGGGUACUUACGGGGUAUGAGUAAAAUCAGUUGAUCCUGUAAGGACCACCAGUGGCGAAGGCGCCUGACCAAAACGCGUCUGACAGUGAGGGUCGAAGGCUAGGAGAACGAAUCGGAUUAGAUACCCGAGUAGCCCUAGCAGUAAAUUAUGCAGACUGUGGUGUUGCUGUGGCUUCGGGCCACAGCAGUGCUGUAGCGUAGGUGUUAAGUCUGCCACCUGGGGAGUACGGCCGCAAGGUUGAAACUUAAAGGA